rnacentral:rRNA from 1 species
ACGGGAGGCAGCAGUGAGGAAUAUUGGACAAUGGGCGGAAGCCUGAUCCAGCCAUGCCGCGUGCAGGAAUAAGGCCCUAUGGGUCGUAAACUGCUUUUGUUGUGGAGCAAUAAGACUCACGUGUGGGUCGAUGAGAGUACACAGCGAAUAAGCAUCGGCUAACUCCGUGCCAGCAGCCGCGGUAAUACGGAGGAUGCAAGCGUUAUCCGGAUUUAUUGGGUUUAAAGGGUGCGUAGGCGGACGCGUAAGUCAGCGGUGAAAUAUCCCGGCUCAACCGGGAGGCUGCCGUUGAUACUGCGCGACUGGAGUCCAAACGGCGCCGGCGGAAUAUGUAAUGUAGCGGUGAAAUGCAUAGAUAUUACAUAGAACACCGAUCGCGAAGGCAGCUGGCGAGGAUGGUACUGACGCUGAGGCACGAAGGCGUGGGGAUCAAACAGGAUUAGAUACCCUGGUA